AGAACUUGAUGAAUUAAGAUAGUAGAUUCAGUAGCUGAGUUAACCUAAAAGUUUGCUGAUUUUCUUCAAGAUCAUGAAAAAAUAUUGUGAGCAAAAGAUAUAAUUUUCUCAGAAAACAGAACUAGAGAAAUGGCCUUAAAUUAUCCUUCAUUUAAAAGAAGUUUUGAUAUUUUAGUCACUUAAGACAAAAGUGGGCAAGACUGGUAUUACUACUCAGAUUUUACAAUGAUAAAACUACCUGAGAGUGUAAGCGGCUCAAGCAAGGCUCAACUAGAGCUAAUACACAGGCGGGCCGAUCUUGGGUCUAGGUCUGGUCUUCUAAUGUACAGUCUGGUGCUUCUGCAGUAAACAGCGUGGCUCUCUUCUGGAUCAUUUGAAAUACUAACACUCAAAUGAGGGAAGAGGUGAAAUUUUUAUCACUCAGGGUUUUAGGACCAUUUUAGUCUAUCCUGAAAGGCUUAGGGGGCAGAGGUCACACACUGAGUGUGUGUGUGAGUGUGAGCAUGUGUGUACAUGUAGACUGGCUGCGGCAGGCUAGCUCUGGCUUGCAAGAGCAUCGCUUCCCAGCUCCCCAGGUCAGCCAUGAGUGGCCUCAAGAUGGUAAUCAGAACUACUGUGGUUACCCUUUCAGUAUUUCUUUUUUACAGAGCUGGUUUGUAAACACUGACUACUUACUAGUAUACACAGGGUAUACCAGAAUCAUCCUUGAAAGACUUUUGCAAAAUAUAAAUACUAUCUUCCAGUCCCUCAACUGGUAUAUGGAAUCUCUAGGUUAGGGAAGCAAGUGGGCCAGGCAAAGGCACCUUGAAAAAAAAUCUCUGCUUCCCUCCACACCCUAAUAAAA